UGCAGCUAUUGUAAAAUGGGUUGAGUUCUUGAUUUGAUUCUGAGCUUGGUCGCUGUUGGUGUAUAGCAGUGCUACCAAUUUGUGUACAUUGAUUUUGUAUCCUGAAACUUUACUUAAUUUGUUUAUCAGGUCUAGGAGCUUUUUGGAUGAGUCUUUAGGGUUUUCUAGGUAUAUGAUCAUAUCAUCAGCAAAAAGUGACAGAUUGACUUCCUCUUUGCUGAUUUGGAUGCCUUUAUUUCUUUCUCUUUUCUGAUUGCUCUGGCUAGGACUUCCCAUCCUCUGUAGAAUAGAAGUGGUGAGAGUGGGCAUCCUUGUCUUCCUCCAGUUCUCAGGGGAAAUACUUUCAACUUUUCCCCAAUCAGUAUAACAUGGCUAUACGUUUGUCAUAGAUGACUUUUAUUACCUUAAGGUAUGUCCCUUCUAUGUCAGUUUUGCUGUGGGUUUUAAUCAUAAAGGAAUGCUGGAUUUUGUCAAAUGCUUUUUAUUUUUCUGUUGAGAUGAUCUUACGAUUUUUGUUUUUAAUUGUGUUUAUGUGAUGUAUCACAUUUAUUGACUUGCAGAUGUUAAACCAUCCCUGCAUCCCUGGUAUGAAACCCACUUGAUCAUGGUGGAUUAUCUUUUUGAUAUGCUGUUGGAUUUGGUUAGCUUGUAUUUUGUUGAGAAUUUUUGCAUCUAUGUUUGUCAGGAAUAUCGGUCUGUAGUUUUUUGGUUGUUGUUGUUAUGUUCUUUUCUGGUUUUGGUAUUAGCGUGAUACUGGCUUCAUAGAAUGAUUCAGGGAGGCUUUCCUCUUUCUCUGGCUUUUGGAAUAGUUUCAAUAGGAUUUGUACCAAUUCUUCUUUAAAUGUCUGAUGGAAAUCAGCUGUGAUUCCAUCUGUUCCUGGACUUUUUUUUUUGUUGUUGGCAAUGUUUUUUUGUAACCAUUUUAAUCUUGCUGCUUGUUGUUUGUCUGUUCAGAGUAUUUCUUCCUGGUUUAAUCUUGGAGGUUUGCAUAUUUCCAGGAAUUUAUCCAUCUCCUCUAGGUUUUCUAGUUUGUGUGUGUAAAGGUAUUCAUAGAAGACUUGAAUGAUCUUUUGUAUUUCUGUGUUAUUGGAUUUAAUAUAUCCCGUUAUGUUUCUGGUUGAGCUUAUUUGGAUCUCCUCCCAUUUUUUCUUGGUUAUUCUUGCUAAUGGUCUAUCAAUUUUGUUUAUAUUUUCAAAGAAUCAGCUUUUUGUUUUAUUUAUCUUUUGUAUUUUUUUGUUUCAAUUUCAUUUAGUUCUGCUCUGAUCUUUGUUAUUUCUUUUUUUUUUUUUUUUUUCUGCUGGGUUUGGGUUUGGUUUGAUCUUAUUUCUCUGGUUCCUUGAAGUGUGACCUUAGACUAUCUAUAUGUGUUCUUUCAGACUUUUUGAUGUAGGCAUUUAAUGCUAUGAACCUUCCUUUUAACAUCGCUUUUGCUGUAUCACAGAAGUUUUCAUAGGUUGUGUUAUUGCUAUCAUUCAGUUCAAGUAAUUUUGAAAUUUCCAUUAUAAUUUCAUUGUUUACCAAAAUAUAAUUCAGGAGCAGAUUAUUUUAUUUCAAUGUAUUUGCAUGGUUUGAGGAUUCCUUUUGGAGUUGAUUUUUAAUUUUAUUCCACUGUGGUCUGAGAGCAUAUUAAUAUAAUUUUGAUUUUCUUAAAUUUAUUGAGGCUUGUUUUGUGCCUAUCAUAUGAUCUACCUUGGAGAAUGUUCCAUGUGCUGAUGAAUAGAACAUAUAUUCUGCAGUUGUUUGGUAGAAUGUUCUGAAUAUAUCUGCUAAGUCCAUUUGUUCUAGGGCAUAGUUUAAGUCCAUUGUCUGACUUGUUUUUGAUGACCUGUCUAGUGCUGUCAGUGGAGUAUUGAAGUCACCCACUAUUAUUGUGUUGCCUCUUAUCUCAUUUCUUAAUUCUAGGAGUAAUUGUUUUGUAAAUUUAAAGCUCCAGUUUUAGGUGCAUAUGUAUUGAGGAUUGUAAUAUUUUCCUGUUGGACUAGUCCUUUUAUUAUUCUAUAAUGUCCCUCUUUGUCUUUUUAAAUUGUUGUUGCUUUAAAGUUGGUUUUGUCUGAUAAACGAAUAGCUACUUCUGCUUGUUUUUGGUGUCCAUUUGCAUGGAAUAUCUUUUUCCAUCCAUUUACCUUACAUUUAUAUGGGUCUGUAUGUGUUAGGUGAGUCUCUUGAAGACGCAGAUACUUGACUGGUGAAUUCUUAUCCAUUCUGUCAUUUUGUAUCUUUUAAGUGGAGCAUUUAGGCCUUUUACAUUCGAUGUUAUUAUUGAGAUGUGAGGUACUGUUCUAUUCAUCCUGCUAGUUGUUGCCUGACUACCUUGUUUUUUUUUUUGUUUGUUUGUUUUUGUUUGUUUUUUAUUGCUGGUGAGCUUGUGUGAUCAUUUGGGGUGUCAAUGAAUCUUGCUUUGUCAUAUCAUCAGAAUUGUUUUUCUGGUUCCUUCUCAUUUGGGUAGACUAUUUCAGAGGAAAGAUCUGGGACUCAAGGGCUGCUAAUCUGAUUUUUUUUUCCUAUGGGGUGAUCCCUUGAUGUGGUGUUCUUUUUCUUCCCCUAGAAAUGGAGCUUCCUGAGAAUAAAACUGCAGUGAUUGUUAUUGUUCUUCUGUGUCUAGUCCCCCAGUGGAGCUACUGGGCUCUGGGCUGGUAUUGGGGAGUGUCUGCAAAGAUUUCUGUGAUGUGAUCCUGUGAAGACCUGUCUUCAGGUCUCUCAGCUGUGGAUGCCAGUACCUGCCCCAGUGGAGGUAGCAGGGAAGCAAAGUGGACUCUGUGAGAGUGCUGGUUGUAGUUUGUUUAGUGUGCAGAUUUUCUCGAAUGCUGGUUUGCUAGCAGUGAAGCUGUCAUGUGGACAGACUCAGGACCUCUGGUUAGCCAGGGUGUUACAGGUGGUGUUUUCUCCUUUCUUGGAGUAGGAUUGUUCUAAGUUGCUGUAAUGGCUUGAGUUGGUUGACUUCCAGCCAGGAGGUGGCACUUUUAAGAGAGCAUCAGCUGCGGUAGUAGAAGGGGGAUACAGGCUUGCCCUAAGUUGGCCAGGGUAAAUAUUCAGUCGUCUCAGGUAAUAGGUGAGGCCAUAGAGCUCCCACAAGUUUAUAUCUUUUGUCUCUGGUUACCAGGAAGGGUAGAGAAAACCAUCAGGUGGGGGCAGGGUUAGGCAGGUCUCAGCCUAGACUCUCCUUGGGCUUGCAGUGGCCACUUUGAGGGAUAUGGGGUGUGUCUCAGGCCAAUGGAGUUAUGUUCCAUGGGAGAUUAUGGCUGCCUCUGCUGCUUCCUACAGGUUGCCAGGUAAGUGGUGGAAAGCCAUCAGUGACAGGCCUUACCCAGCUCCCAUGAAACCAGCAAGGCCAGUCUCAUUCCUGCCAUACUCCCCCAGCAGCCAACAGUGCCCAAUUUAUACCCAGGCCUCUGGUGCACAGGGCUGAGAUCCUGCCCCAGGCUACAAGACUCCCUGCUGAGAGAGCAAGCAUGGCUUUCAGUCCUCACCCUUCCCUUCCUGUUGCGGCUUCUGUGCUCCUAUCUGUACUUCCCGUUCCCCACACCCCAACCCCCUGGACUCUGCCCAGGAAAAUUUGUCGUCUUUGGAAAUUAUUACAAAGUUCAGCUGGAAGUCUCCUUCUCCCUGUGGACCUUCCCCAAUUCCACUGGCUGCCCUCCUCAAGGACCCCUGUUCUCCAGGGCCGAUGUAUGUUUGGAGAUGGAUUUCCCCCUCUCACACUUCAGGCACUCAGUUUUUUGGCAGUCUCAUGGAGUUUUCAGUGGCAAGCCGCUUAUUUCAAAUGGGAUUUGGAAAGGAUUCCGUGAUGGUUAAUAUUGAGUGUCAACUUGAUUGGAUUGAAGGAUGCAAAGUAUUGUUCCUGGGUGUGUCUGUGAGGGUGUCACCAAAGGAGAUGAACAUUUGAAUCAGUGAGCUGGGAGACACAAACCCAUACUCAAUCUUGGGGGACACCAUCUAAUCAGCUGCCAGUGCAACUAGGAUAAAAUCAGGCAGAGAAAUUUGGAAAGACUAGACUGGCUGAGUCUUCUGGCCUUCAUCUUUCUCCCAUGCUAGAUGCUUCCUGACCUCGAAUAUCAGACUCCAAGUUCUUUAGCUUUUGGACUCUUGGACCUUUGGCCACAGACGGAAGGCUGCACUUUUGAAGUUUUGGGACUUGGACUGGCUUCCUUGCUCCUCAGCUUACAGAUGGCCUAUUGUGGGACUUCACCUUGUGAUUGUGAUUUCAAACCUUCUGGGUUUCUUCCCAGCGCUAAAUCCUGUCGACUGGAUUCACUAGGAUGAAUAGAGAAAGAAGUGUUACAUUUUAAGAUAAUUUCUUUUCUAAACACACAGAAAGUUUUGAAACCAAUGGAGAGAUCAACACAAGCUUUGGAGAGGAGAUCAAAAUAUCUGCUUCACUGGAAGGAGUUUUGGAUUGCUCAACAAGAUCGUGGUCACCAGAUGGCUGUUGCCCUUCCAGGCUUCCAGCUCCUGUGUUCCAGACUGAAGAAGAGGAACAGAAAAAGGUGCUACUUGAAGGGGCACCAAAAAAUCAUGAGCCCAGGACAGGACAGAGGUGGAACUUAUUCUCCAGGUGCUCUACUUUGAAGUCAAGGACAUCUUACCAUCAUCCUGGAGAGCUGGAUCCUCCCAGA
rnacentral:lncRNA from 1 species